rnacentral:rRNA from 1 species
UACGUAGGGGGCAAGCGUUGUUCGGAAUUACUGGGCGUAAAGCGCGCGUAGGCGGUUUGUCGCGUCUGCCGUGAAAGUCCGGGGCUCAACUCCGGAUCUGCGGUGGGUACGGGCAGACUAGAGUGAUGUAGGGGAGACUGGAAUUCCUGGUGUAGCGGUGAAAUGCGCAGAUAUCAGGAGGAACACCGAUGGCGAAGGCAGGUCUCUGGGCCGUAACUGACGCUGAGGAGCGAAAGCGUGGGGAGCGAACAGG